UACGAAGGGAGCUAGCGUUGUUCGGAAUCACUGGGCGUAAAGCGCGCGCAGGCGGUCCUUUAAGUCUGAUGUGAAAGCCCACGGCUCAACCGUGGAGGGUCAUUGGAAACUGGGGGACUUGAGUACAGAAGAGAAGAGUGGAAUUCCACGUGUAGCGGUGAAAUGCGUAGAGAUGUGGAGGAACACCAGUGGCGAAGGCGACUCUUUGGUCUGUAACUGACGCUGAGGCGCGAAAGCGUGGGGAGCAAACAGG
rnacentral:rRNA from 1 species